CCUACGGGAGGCAGCAGUGAGGAAUAUUGGUCAAUGGGCGGGAGCCUGAACCAGCCAAGUCGCGUGAGGGAAGACGGUCCUAUGGAUUGUAAACCUCUUUAGGCGGGGAGCAAUGCCGGGCACGCGUGCCCGGAGGGAGAGUACCCGCAGAAUAAGCAUCGGCUAACUCCGUGCCAGCAGCCGCGGUAAUACGGAGGAUGCGAGCGUUAUCCGGAGUUAUUGGGUUUAAAGGGUGCGUAGGCGGAUUUUUAAGUCAGCGGUAAAAUGUCCGGGCUCAACCCGGGCCGGUCGUUGAAACUGGGGAUCUUGAGUGGGCGAGAAGUAUGCGGAAUGCGUGGUGUAGCGGUGAAAUGCAUAGAUAUCACGCAGAACUCCGAUUGCGAAGGCAGCAUACCGGCGCCCGACUGACGCUGAGGCACGAAAGCGUGGGGAUCGAACAGGAUUAGAUACCCUUGUAGUC
rnacentral:rRNA from 1 species